GAUGAACGCUGACAGAAUGCUUAACACAUGCAAGUCUACUUGAACUUCGGUUUGGGUGGCGGACGGGUGAGUAACGCGUAAAGAACUUGCCUCACAGUUAGGGACAACAUUUGGAAACGAAUGCUAAUACCUGAUAUUAUGAUUUUAGGGCAUCCUAGGAUUAUGAAAGCUAUAUGUGCUGUGAGAGAGCUUUGCGUCCCAUUAGCUAGUUGGAGAGGUAACGGCUCACCAAGGCGAUGAUGGGUAGCCGGCCUGAGAGGGUGAACGGCAACAAGGGGGCUGAGACACGGCCCUUACUCCUACGGGAGGCAGCAGUGGGGAAUAUUGGACAAUGGACCAAAAGUCUGAUCCAGCAAUUCUGUGUGCACGAUGACGUUUUUCGGAAUGUAAAGUGCUUUCAGUUGGGAAGAACAAAAUGACGGUACCAACAGAAGAAGUGACGGCUAAAUACGUG
rnacentral:rRNA from 1 species